CUGUGUUCAUCCAGCCCUGCACCUUGUUGUCUCGGAUUCUCCAGCAUCUGCAGUUCCUACUAUCUCUGAUUCAAUUAAUACCAGAUUAACUUUGACGAUUUUGCUAGUUUCAAAAUUGCUGCUGUCUAUUCUAAUGUAACAAUUAGUGCAUAUUAAAAUAAUUAAUUUUAUCUAAAAUACUUUGAAAUAUCCUUGGAUGAAGUAAUAAAGGUAAAGUGCCAGAGGAUCAUAGGGCUGCUGUCUCAUUAGAGUGAGAAUAACCUGAGGGUCAACACAUGUCAGGUGAGGUUGAGAAGGUGGGAUCUUUCUGGAGACCUCAGUUAGAACAGGAAUUGAACCCAUGCUGGUGGUGGUCACUCUCCAUUGCCAUUUAGAUAUCUAGUAAUUGAGCUAACCAACCCCCAACAAGUCACCACAUUAAGUGUGAAUUUAAACUGGUUUACUACUUUUGGCUUACUGAAGUAAUACAUUUCCUUGCAGAAACCUUUAAACAUAACAGUCAUUCGAAAUGGACAAAAUGUACACAUGAAUCUCACACCUCAGCGAUGGAGUGGAAGAGGAUUAUUAGGGUGUAAUAUUAUUCCUUUGCAGAGCUAAAGAUUGUUGAUUCAGCACGAGAAAACCUUCACAUCUGGCAAAAUGCUCACACCAUAGUAACCGAAAUUGGAGCAAACCUGAACAUUGGAACAUUACAGCUACUUAUUCCAGUCAGAGGUUUUGAAUCCACCUAAUUUGAAUUUAAAGCAGACUAUUUAUUUAAUUUUGGUUUCUGUGGAAAGUUUUUUUUUUCGCCAUUCUUUUUCAGAUUAAAUUUUACCAUUACCAUCACCAUAUCAUUCUUCAACUGAGACUGUCACAUCCUUUGCUAUUGCUAUGAUAUACCACAAAUAUAACAAUGGGGGAAAGGUUGAAUUGAUUUCAGUUGCUGUUUAUUUCCAGAGUUUUCUUCCCACCCCAAUUCUAAUCCCCAUUCCACAGUUGAUGAUUAGUAAAUUUCUAUGCUGAGUUGUGUUGAUUACAAAUUAAGGAUAUUAUGGACUUCAAAGUUAAAACAUUUUGCUGAUUUGUAAAGGUGGUUGGUGUAAUACCUGCUUUGGGAAUAGGUCACAUGCACAGUUGAGUACACAAGGGUCUUCAAUAUACAUGCAACAUUUUUGUCUACAAAGUUGCAAAUGCUGUGUCUGUAUAAGAAAAAUGGAAAUGUGUAGUUAGUGAACUUUGUCAUGAGUUAACAUCACAAUUGUUUGAAGUGAUUUUUUUUUUAUACAGGUGAUUUUUCUGAAUAUUUACACUUUCAAAAUGCUGAAUAUUUCAUUGAAAUAUAGGAGCAGUUCAUGAAUAAAAUAAAUUCCAUGUUUGAUAAGUGUGCUGGUACCUACAAUGAAAGGUUUGUUUGAAGUAUAUGAAAUUCAUAUAUUUGAUAGAAUUAAAGGUAAUGGCACAGA